GACACCGAGACACACGACGUCUCACAUACUCACACACGACGUCUCACACACACACGACACAACAUACGACACGUCACACGACACACAAGACGGCAGACGACACGACACCGAAAUCACACACGACACCGACACGCGACACACACACAAGACGGCAGAGGACACGACACCGAAAUCACAACGCUCGAGACGACCCCCAGCGGGUGCGAGAGCGGAGCGGGGACGGGCGGGGUGAACUCGGUCUCUGGGCGGCGCGUGGGGCCGGUGUGGACGGGAGGGAAGAGGGCGGCAGGGCCGAGGGCGAGAUGUGGGAGAGGCAAACAGAGGAGCCUACGAGACGUUGCCGACUGAGAUGGUCACUUCCUUGUUUUUUCCCCUUGUGCUGGGUUUAGUACCAAGGAAAAAGAAGUCAAGCCUCAGAGUCUCCUGCCCUCAUGCGACGGAAAGUGAGUGAGAGCAGCGAGCCUGUGACCGUUGGUGAGGCCAGGCAAGAGGCCUCCAUCUGGGAGCCGAGCAAUCGCCAGUCUCGGUGAGGUGAGGUCUCGGGAGCCAUGGAAAAGUCGGAGCGGACGAAAAUCAUGCAGGGCAGUAGAAAGGCUGCUGAAAGUACCUGAAGAGACAAAGGAAAUGAGAAGGGGGAAGUCCAGACUAAGACAGGAGUCUAGUCUGUAAAGAGAAACAACGGGAAGUCUAAGCUACAGAAACUCUUCAAGUUGCCGAAAGACAUUUAGGAUGGGAAAUAACUUCUUGAAUCCAGUCUCUUUAAGAUCUUAGGCUUAGUAUGCGUGUGUAUUUGUAUUUGCUUAGUAAUCUGCCUUCUUCUGUUUGCUAUCCCUUAUAAUCACUGAAAAUCUACCUUUUCUAGUGAAACUAUUUUUUGUUUAUUAUUAGUAUUAAACUGAGUUUGUGCAACUGGU